AACUUGCAGGGCUUUGGUCUCCUGUUCGCCCGUCUCCUGCAUCAGGCUUGAGCUCCCGCCGAUUGUCCGCCGUUGCAUGUCGCUUGCCGCGAUGGCUUCAGCGAUGCCGAUGUGAAGAAGCAGAUUAAGCACAUGAUGGCUUUUAUUGAACAAGAAGCCAAUGAGAAAGCAGAAGAAAUUGAUGCAAAGGCAGAAGAGUUCAACAUUGAGAAAGGUCGUCUUGUGCAAACCCAAAGACUGAAGAUUAUGGAAUGUUAUGAGAAGAAAGAAAAGCAGAUUGAGCCGCAGAAGAAAAUUCAGAUGUCCAAUUUGACGAAUCAAGCGAGGCUCAAAGUCCUCAGAGCGAGAGAUGACCUUAUCAUAGACCUACUGAAUGAAGCAAAACAGAGACUCAGCAACGUGGUAAAAGAUGCAACCAGGUACCAAGUGCUGCUGGAUGGACUAGUCCUCCAGGGUUUCUACCAGCUGCUGAAGCCCCGGAUGAUUGUUUGCUGCAGGAAACAGGAUUUCCCUCUGGUGAAGGCUGCAGUGCAAAAAGCAAUCCCUGUGUACAAAGUCGCAACCAAAAGAGACGUUGAUGUCCAGAUUGAUCAGGAGGCCUACCUGCCCGAGAAAAUAGCUGGUGGUGUUGAGAUCUAUAACAGGGACUGCAAGAUCAAGGUGUCCAACACACUCAAAAGUCGGCUGGACCUCAUAGCUCAGAAGAUGAUGCCUGAAGUGCGGGGAGCCUUGUUUGGUGCAAAUACCAACAGGAAGUUUUUGGACUAAGCCAGCAAGUGGUGCAUGACGUGGACGCUCCCAACAUUGGAAGAAAUGAGAUGGCCUGAUAGCUUCUUCUUUGCUGUCCUCUGCUCUUAUUUGUCAGUGGUUGCUCUUCUGUAGCUAACGUUCUCUGACUGAUGGGUAAUGAUGGGAGUCUCAGUU